rnacentral:sRNA from 1 species
CCUUUGUACACACCGCCCGUCGCUACUACCGAUUGAAUGGCUCAGUGAGGCGUUCGGACUGGCUCGGGGAGGUUGGCAACGACCACCCCAAGCCGGAAAGUUCGUCAAACUCGGUCAUUUAGAGGAAGUAAAAGUCGUAACAAGGUCUCCGUAGGUGAACCUGCGGAGGGAUCAUUACACAAAGAAUAUGCAGGCUGCCCGUGGCUGUGUGCCCUCUCGCUCUCUCGGGGGGAGGGCGCGCCAGUUGGCGGAAGGCUGAAUUAUUUUUCACCCAUGUCUUUUGCGCACUUGUUGUUUCCUGGGCGGGUUCGCCCGCCACCAGGACCACACCAUAAACCUUUUUAUGCAGUUGCAAUCAGCGUCAGUAUAACCAAUGUAAAAUCAUUUACAACUUUCAACAACGGAUCUCUUGGUUCUGGCAUCGAUGAAGAACGCAGCGAAAUGCGAUACGUAGUGUGAAUUGCAGAAUUCAGUGAAUCAUCGAAUCUUUGAACGCACAUUGCGCCCUUUGGUAUUCCAAAGGGCAUGCCUGUUCGAGCGUCAUUUGUACCCUCAAGCUUUGCUUGGUGUUGGGCGUUUUUGUCUUGCGGUCAGCAAGACUCGCCUCAAAACAAUUGGCAGCCGGCCUACUGGUUUCGGAGCGCAGCACAAUUUUUUGCGCUUGCAACCAGCAAAAGAGGUUGGCGAUCCAGCAAGUCCAUCUUCUCACUUUUGACCUCGGAUCAGGUAGGGAUACCCGCUGAACUUAAGC